UACGUAGGGUGCGAGCGUUAAUCGGAAUUACUGGGCGUAAAGCGUGCGCAGGCGGUUCUGAAAGUCAGCUGUGAAAGCCCCGGGCUUAACCUGGGAAUUGCGGUUGAAACUACAGGGCUAGAAUCUGGCAGAGGGGGGGUGGAAUUCCGACGUGUAGCAGUGAAAUGCGUAGAGAUGUGGAGGAACACCGAUGGCGAAGGCAGCCCCCCUGGGCUGAGAUUGACGCUCAGGCACGAAAGCGUGGGGAGCAAACAGG
rnacentral:rRNA from 1 species